rnacentral:lncRNA from 1 species
UAAGAGAUUAACCCUCGUCCUCCCUGCGUCGCCUCAGUAGGAAGUUUCAAGGACCAACAACACAUCUCGGUAUGACAAGCUAAGACUCAACUAAACAAACUGAUGAAACACCUCUGACCUGUGGGACACACUUGUAUGUGAUGCCAUCAACAGCAACUGAUGAAACACCUCUGACCUGUGGGACACACUUGUAUGUGAUGCCAUCAACAGCAACUGAUGAAACACCUCUGACCUGUGGGACACACUUGUAUGUGAUGCCAUCAACAGCAACUGAUGAAACACCUCCGACCUGUGGGAGGUUGGAGGGAGGCAUAAGGUCGAGCAUGACAACCAUUACUGGUGUUGGCUGGGCAGAAGCCGUCACUUGUGCACCAAGAUGUCUUCACGUUUUAGCUCUCUGGUCUGUAGUCUCAAAUGUAAAGUAUGUUGAAUAUUUCUCCUAAGUUAAGAUGCAAGGUUGUAUCUGAUUGUGUGAUUCAAGGUGAUGGAAUCUCAAAGGUAUGUUGAAUAUUUCUUAUAAAUUAAGAUGUAAAAAUGUAUCUGAUUGGUGACAUAAGAUACAACAUUGGUCAAGGAUGAGUUGUCCUAAUUUAUUUAGUAUGGAUCAGGAAGCUGAUUCUAGGACUGUAGUUAGCCUGAUUAAAACUCGGGCCUUCGUUGAUGAGCAGCAGCAAUUUGACAGUAAUUACAUAAGAUCAUCGGAAUCGUCUUAGUGAUGUGCAAACCGAUAAAGGAUUUUUUAAUGCUAGAUGCGAUUGUAUUUUUUAAAACUCAAUCUCCACUGAGUUGGAGGUACAGCCCAGGUCAAGAGGCCUACAACCACAAAAUCUUUGUCAUAAGACAAUUUUUUUUUUU